AGGGUUCGAUCAUGGCUCAGAACGUACGCUGGCGGCACGCCUAACACAUGCAAGUCGAACGAAGUAGCAAUACUUAGCGGCAGACGGGUGAGUAACAUGUAGGUAUCUUCCCUUUGGCCUGGAAUAACACGAGGAAACUUGUGCUAAUACCGGAUAAGUCUUUACGGAGAAAGCUUUAUGCACCAUUGGAUGAGCCUGCACUUGAUUAGUUUGCUGGUGGGGUAAGGGCCUACCAAGACUUUGAUCAAUAGCUGAUUUGAGAGGAUGACCAGCCACAUUGGGACUGAGACACGGCCCAAACUCCUACGGGAGGCAGCAGUGGGGAAUCUUGCACAAUGGAGGAAACUCUGAUGCAGCGAUGCCGCGUGAGUGAAGAAGGCCCUUGGGUUGUGAAGCUCUUUCGUCGGGGAAGAAAAUGACUGUACCCGAAUAAGAAGGUCCGGCUAACUUCGUGCCAGCAGCCGCGGUAAUACGAAGGGACCUAGCGUAGUUCGGAAUUACUGGGCUUAAAGAGUUCGUAGGUGGUUGAAAAAGUUGGUGGUGAAAUCCCAGAGCUUAACCCUGGAACUGCCAUCAAAACUUUUCAGCUAGAGUUUGAUAGAGGAAAGCAGAAUUUCUAGUGUAGAGGUGAAAUUCGUAGAUAUUAGAAAGAAUACCAAUUGCGAAGGCAGCUUUCUGGAUCAUUACUGACACUGAGGAACGAAAGCAUGGGUAGCGAAGAGGAUUAGAUACCCUCGUAGUCCAUGCCGUAAACGAUGUGUGUUAGACGUUGGAAAUUUAUUUUCGGUGUCGCAGCGAAAGCGAUAAACACACCGCCUGGGGAGUACGACCGCAAGGUUAAAACUCAAAUGAAUUGACGGGGACCCGCACAAGUAGUGGAGCAUGUGGUUUAAUUCGAAGAUACGCGCAGAACCUUACCAACACUUGACAUGUUCGUCGCGACUUUAAGAGAUUAAAGUUUUCGGUUCGGCCGGACGAAACACAGGUGCUGCAUGGCUGUCGUCAGCUCGUGUCGUGAGAUGUUGGGUUAAGUCCCGCAACGAGCGCAACCCUCACUUUUAGUUGCCAUCAUUUAGUUGGGCACUCUGAAAGAACUGCCAGUGAUAAGCUGGAGGAAGGUGGGGAUGACGUCAAGUCCUCAUGGCCCUUACGUGUUGGCUACACACGUGCUACAAUGGUAUUUACAACAGGAAGCAAGACGGCGACGUUAAGCAAAUCCUUAAAAAAUACCUCAGUUCGGAUUGCACUCUGCAACUCGAGUGCAUGAAGCUGGAAUUACUAGUAAUCGUGGAUCAGCGUGCCACGGUGAAUGCGUUCCCGGGUCUUGUACACACCGCCCGUCACACCAUGGGAGUUGGUUCUACCUUAAGGCAAGGUUUAAUACCCUUGACCACGGUAUAGUCAGCGACUGGGGUGAAGUCGUAACAAGGUAGCCAAGGG
rnacentral:rRNA from 1 species